GGUGCUGCAUGGUUGUCGUCAGCUCGUGCCGUGAGGUGUCGGGUUAAGUCCCAUAACGAGCGCAACCCUUAUCGUUAGUUGCCAGCGGGUCAUGCCGGGAACUCUACGAAACUGCCGGUGUAAACCGUGAGGAAGGUGGGAUGACGUCAAAUCAGCACGGCCCUUAUGUCCAGGGCUACACACGUGUUACAAUGGCCGGUACAGAGGGCAGCUACCUGGAGACAGGAUGCGAAUCUCGAAAGCCGGUCUCAGUUCGGAUCGGAGUCUGCAACCCGCCUGCAUGAAGAUGGAGUUGCUAGUAACCGCAGGUCAGCUAUACUGCGGUGAAUACGUUCCCGGGGCUU
rnacentral:rRNA from 1 species